rnacentral:lncRNA from 1 species
UUUUGUUCUGCUGUUGGAUUUUCCCACCUGUUGUAUGGGGAACUAUGGAAACAGAGAUGCCCAGAGAGAAGACAAUGUGAGGAGACACAGGGCGCACCACCAGGGCGGUGCUUCCACAAGUCAAGGAGUGCUGAAGAUUCCAGCAAACCACCAGAUGCCAGGGAAGAGCUCGGAACGGGCCUUCCUCACAGUCCCCAGAAGGAACCAACCCUGCCGACACCCUGAUCUUGGAUUUCCAGCCUUGAGAACUGUGAGACAAUACAUCUGUAUUGUUUAAGCUGCCCUGUUUGUGGUCUUUUGUCCUGACAUCCCCAGGAAGCUAAGUUAGUGACUGUAUAUUUUAAUCCUUCAAAUAUAUACUCUAUCAUCUCC